GUGAAUCAUCGAAUUUUUGAACGCAAAUUGCACCCUCCUCGGAGAGUAUGCCCGUUUGAGGGUCAGCCUAUAAAAACCGACAUCGUUGUUGUUUCGCGGUGGCGCUCGUCGGUAAUCGGGUCAUCUUAAAUCCCUCUGAUUUAAGCGACUUAACAUUUUCUCUUGGUUCCAUGAACGUUUCUAAGAUCUAUUUCUCUACCCGCUUAAGGUAUCGAUCUUUACUAGACGUGACCAUCAUAUCGGAUCGCGUCCAUAAUCUUUCAUUAC
rnacentral:misc_RNA from 1 species